UACGGAGGGUGCGAGCGUUGUCCGGAAUCAUUGGGCGUAAAGGGCGCGUAGGUGGCCCGGUCAGUCUUUGGUGAAAGCGCGGGGCUCAACCCUGCGUCGGCCAGGGAUACUGCCGCGGCUCGAGCACUGUAGAGGCAGGCGGAAUUCCGGGUGUAGCGGUGGAAUGCGUAGAGAUCGGAAGGAAUGCCGGUGGCGAAGGCGACUGCCUGGCCUGACACUGACGCUGAGGCGCGAGAGCGUGGGGAGCGAACAGG
rnacentral:rRNA from 1 species